rnacentral:snRNA from 1 species
GUGCUUGCUUCAGCAGCACAUAUACUAAAAUUGGAAUGAUACAGAGAAUAUUAGCAUGGCCUGUGUGCACAGAUGACACGCAAAUUCGUGAAGCGUUCCAUGUUUUU